AGCAUGGAUUAUGAGGAAAGCAAACCUUUUAUGAGGUUUAUGGGUAUAUUAGAAGAAUGCCUUCAUGAGGUUUAUGGGGUUUAUGUGGAGGCUGCUUUGUAAUGAGGGUGCUUUUAUGAGGUUUGUAGAGUUUAUGAGGAGAGCAGCAUUAUAAGGAUCAUGGGGGUUCUGAAGACAAAGUCAUUUUCAGGUGAUUGUAUAUAUGCUUUUAUUUAUGAUAUUUAUAGGCUUUACGAGGACAGGGUCUCUAAGAAUUUUAUGGUAUUGAGGAGGAGAGCACCAAUAUGAGGUUUAUGGAGUUUAGGAAGAGAGUAUCCUUAUGACCUUUAUGGCCUUCAUGGUAUUAAAGGCCUUUUUGAAUUUUAUGGAAUUGAUGAAGAGAAUGUCUUUAUGACAAUAAGGGGGUUUAUGAAGAGAGUGUCUUUAAGAAAUUUAUGGCCUUCAUGAGGAGACAGUCCCCACAAGAAAAGUGCUUUUAUGAUAUUUGUGGGGCUUAUGAGGAGAGUGCCUUUAUGAGGUUUAUUUGGAUUAUGAGGUUUGUGAGGAGAGUCCCUCUUCACAUAAGCCCCAUAAACCUCAUAAAAUAUUCUCCUCAUAGAGGACCUCUCCUCAGAAACCACAUAAACCUCAUAAGGGUGCUGUUCUCAGAAACCCCAUAAUCCUCACAAAGGCACUCUUCUCCUUAAGACAUCCGCCUCAUAAACACCAUAAACCUCAUAAAUGUACUGUCCUAAUGCAGGUGAUUUCCUCAUAAGCCCCAUAAGCUUCCUAAAGGAGAUCUCCUCAUAAACAUCAGGAACCACAUAAAGAGUCUGCAAUUGCUGGGGAGCCCUGUUUCACAGCAAAGACCUGGAGAACCCUUCCUGGCAACUGGGAAAAUCCCACCCAUUGUGACCACUCAUAGAUGAGGUCUCCAGUUCACCCAAAACAGGGGUCCAGCUUUUAUAGACCCAAAUCAACAGAUGCCUGAACAUGAACAAUCGGAUUCAAUGUGCACACGGCAGCCUACCCAGUCCCCACCAUCUGUUACCUUGCAGCAGCAGCCACCAGGAGCACUUGCAGAGGGAAAGUGCACAGGCAACAGGAGAAGAUGGUUAAUGGCUUCUAUUUACCACCUUCUGACAUUUGUCAAAUGCAGUUUCCAGGAUCAGCCUGAUUUUUUUCAAGCUAUCAUGGCCUAAAUAAGAGCCACC